rnacentral:rRNA from 1 species
AGAGUUUGAUCCUGGCUCAGGACGAACGCUGGCGGCGGGCUUAACACAUGCAAGUCGAAGGAGAAGGCGAGUGCUUGCACUUGCCGGAGACUGGCGCACGGGUGAGUAACGCGUAGACAACCUGCCUAUAACUGGGGGAUAACAUACCGAAAGGUGUGCUAAUACCGCAUAUUGCCAACGCCUCGCAUGAGGGGUUGGUGAAAGACUUCGGUUGGUUAUAGAUGGGUCUGCUUGCCAUUAGUUAGUUGGUGGGGUAAAAGCCUACCUUGGCCAUGAUGGCUAGGGGGUCUGAUAUGAUGAUCCCCCCCCCUGGGACUGACACACGGCCCAAACUCCUACGGGAGGCAGCAGUGAAGAAUCUUGCCCAAUGGGGGUAACCCGGACGCAUCCUUCCUGCGUGCCUUCAUCACACCUCUAUGGGUUGUAAACGGCUUUUACAUGGGAAGAAAGUGCAGGUUUCGACCAGCAUUGACGGUACCAUUUGAAUAAGCACCGGCUAACUCCGUGCCAGCAGCCGCGGUAAUACGGAGGGUGCAAGCGUUGUCCGGAAUCAUUGGGUGUAAAGGGUGCGUAGGCCGGCGCCUAAGUCUGAGGUGAAAUCUUGCCGCUUAACGGUAAAAUUGCCUUGAAUACUGGGUGUCUUGAAUCUGACAGAGGUCGGUGGAAUUCGUGGUGUAGCGGUGAAAUGCAUAGAUAUCACGAAGAACAUCAGUGGCGAAGGCGGCCCGGCUGGGUCAGUAUUGACGCUGAGCACGAGAGCGUGGGGAGCGAACAGGAUUAGAUACCCUGUAGUCCACGCUGUAAACCAUGUAUGCUAGCGCGCGCCUCUCGGGUCCUGACGCAGUUAACGCAGUAAGCAUACCACCUGGGGAGUACGUUCGCAAGAAUGAAACUCAAAGGAAUUGACGGGGGCCCGCACAAGCGGUGGAAGCAUGUGGCUUAAUUCGAUGCAACGCGAAGAACCUUACCCGGGCUAAAUCUCCGGCGACCGGUCCCGAAACGGACCUUCCCUUCGGGGCGCCGGCGAAGGUGCUGCAUGGCUGUCGUCAGCUCGUGCCGUGAGGUGUUGCCUUAAGUGGCGCAACGAGCGCAACCCCUGUGGUUAGUUACCAGCACGUAAUGGUGGGGACUCUAGCCAGACUGCCUACGCAAGUAGUGAGGAAGGUGGGGACGACGUCAAGUCAUCAUGACCCUUAUGUCCGGGGCUGCACACGUGCUACAAUGGAUGGUACAGAGGGAAGCCACCCCGCGAGGGGGUGCAGAUCUCGAAAGCCAUUCCCAGUUCGGAUUGGAGUCUGCAACUCGACUCCAUGAAGGUGGAAUCGCUAGUAAUCGCGUAUCAGCAAUGACGCGGUGAAUACGUUCCCGGGCCUUGUACACACCGCCCGUCAAGCGAUGGAAGUCAGGAGUACCUGAUGUCGCCACAGCAAGUGGUGCCUAGGGUAAGCUUGGCAACUGGCGCUAAGUCGUAACAAGGUAGCCGU